UACAGAGGUCUCGAGCGUUAGGCGGAAUCACUGGGCUUAAAGCGUGUGUAGGCGGAUCGUUAAGUACCUUGUGAAAUCCCACGGCUUAACCGUGGAACUGCUUGGUAUACUGGCGGUCUUGAGCCAGCUAGGGGCUACCGGAACAAAUGGUGGAGCGGUGAAAUGCGUAGAUAUCAUUUGGAACGCCAAUGGUGAAAACAGGUAGCUGGGGCUGUGCUGACGCUGAGACACGAAAGCUAGGGGAGCGAAUGGG
rnacentral:rRNA from 1 species